GAACGCUGGCGGCGUGCUUAACACAUGCAAGUCGAACGGUGAAGCCAAGCUUGCUUGGUGGAUCAGUGGCGAACGGGUGAGUAACACGUGAGCAACCUGCCCUGAACUCUGGGAUAAGCGCUGGAAACGGCGUCUAAUACUGGAUAUGAGCUGCGGAGGCAUCUUCGUGGUUGGAAAGAUUUUUCGGUUUGGGAUGGGCUCGCGGCCUAUCAGCUUGUUGGUGAGGUAAUGGCUCACCAAGGCGUCGACGGGUAGCCGGCCUGAGAGGGUGACCGGCCACACUGGGACUGAGACACGGCCCAGACUCCUACGGGAGGCAGCAGUGGGGAAUAUUGCACAAUGGGCGGAAGCCUGAUGCAGCAACGCCGCGUGAGGGAUGACGGCCUUCGGGUUGUAAACCUCUUUUAGCAGGGAAGAAGCGAAAGUGACGGUACCUGCAGAAAAAGCGCCGGCUAACUACGUGCCAGCAGCCGCGGUAAUACGUAGGGCGCAAGCGUUAUCCGGAAUUAUUGGGCGUAAAGAGCUCGUAGGCGGUUUGUCGCGUCUGCUGUGAAAUCUGGGGGCUCAACCCCCAGCCUGCAGUGGGUACGGGCAGACUAGAGUGCGGUAGGGGAGAUUGGAAUUCCUGGUGUAGCGGUGGAAUGCGCAGAUAUCAGGAGGAACACCGAUGGCGAAGGCAGAUCUCUGGGCCGUAACUGACGCUGAGGAGCGAAAGGGUGGGGAGCAAACAGGCUUAGAUACCCUGGUAGUCCACCCCGUAAACGUUGGGAACUAGUUGUGGGGUCCAUUCCACGGAUUCCGUGACGCAGCUAACGCAUUAAGUUCCCCGCCUGGGGAGUACGGCCGCAAGGCUAAAACUCAAAGGAAUUGACGGGGACCCGCACAAGCGGCGGAGCAUGCGGAUUAAUUCGAUGCAACGCGAAGAACCUUACCAAGGCUUGACAUACACGAGAACGCUGCAGAAAUGUAGAACUCUUUGGACACUCGUGAACAGGUGGUGCAUGGUUGUCGUCAGCUCGUGUCGUGAGAUGUUGGGUUAAGUCCCGCAACGAGCGCAACCCUCGUUCUAUGUUGCCAGCACGUAAUGGUGGGAACUCAUGGGAUACUGCCGGGGUCAACUCGGAGGAAGGUGGGGAUGACGUCAAAUCAUCAUGCCCCUUAUGUCUUGGGCUUCACGCAUGCUACAAUGGCCGGUACAAAGGGCUGCAAUACCGCGAGGUGGAGCGAAUCCCAAAAAGCCGGUCCCAGUUCGGAUUGAGGUCUGCAACUCGACCUCAUGAAGUCGGAGUCGCUAGUAAUCGCAGAUCAGCAACGCUGCGGUGAAUACGUUCCCGGGUCUUGUACACACCGCCCGUCAAGUCAUGAAAGUCGGUAACACCUGAAGCCGGUGGCCCAACCCUUGUGGAGGGAGCCGUCGAAGGUGGGAUCGGUAAUUA
rnacentral:rRNA from 1 species